rnacentral:rRNA from 1 species
GAUGAACGCUGGCGGCGUGCUUAACACAUGCAAGUCGAACGAUGAAGCCCAGCUUGCUGGGUGGACUAGUGGCGAACGGGUGAGUAACACGUGAGCAAUCUGCCCCUGACUCUGGGAUAAGCGCUGGAAACGGCGUAUAAUACCGGAUACGAACCGCCAUCGCAUGGUGAGCGGUUGGAAAGAUCUUUCGGUCUGGGAUGGGCUCGCGGCCUAUCAGCUUGUUGGUGAGGUAAUGGCUCACCAAGGCGUCGACGGGUAGCCGGCCUGAGAGGGUGACCGGCCACACUGGGACUGAGACACGGCCCAGACUCCUACGGGAGGCAGCAGUGGGGAAUAUUGCACAAUGGGCGGAAGCCUGAUGCAGCAACGCCGCGUGAGGGAUGACGGCCUUCGGGUUGUAAACCUCUUUUAGCAGGGAAGAAGCGAAAGUGACGGUACCUGCAGAAAAAGCGCCGGCUAACUACGUGCCAGCCGCAGCGGUAA